GACGAACGCUGGCGGCGUGCUUAACACAUGCAAGUCGAGCGGUAAGGCCCUUUUGGGGGUACGACGAGCGGCGGACGGGUGAGUAACACGUGGGUGACCUGCCCUCAGCUCUGGGAUAAGCCUGGGAAACUGGGUCUAAUACUGGAUAUGACCUUUCCUCGCAUGGGGUUGGGUGGAAAGUUUUUCGGCUGGGGAGUGGGCCCGCGGCCUAUCAGCUUGUUGGUGGGGUGAUGGCCUACCAAGGCGACGACGGGUAGCCGGCCUGAGAGGGCGACCGGCCACACUGGGACUGAGACACGGCCCAGACUCCUACGGGAGGCAGCAGUGGGGAAGUAUUGCGCAAUGGGCGGAAGCCUGACGCAGCGACGCCGCGU
rnacentral:rRNA from 1 species